UACGGAGGGGGCGAGUGUUGUUCGGAAUUACUGGGCGUAAAGGGCUCGUAGGCGGUUUGUCGCGUCGGGAGUGAAAACUCAGGGCUUAACCCUGAGCCUGCUUCCGAUACGGGCAGACUAGAGGUAUGCAGGGGAGAAUGGAAUUCCUGGUGUAGCGGUGAAAUGCGCAGAUAUCAGGAGGAACACCGGUGGCGAAGGCGGUUCUCUGGGCAUUACCUGACGCUGAGGAGCGAAAGUGUGGGGAGCGAACAGG
rnacentral:rRNA from 1 species